UAAAUAACUUUUAUGGUUAAGUUGGUCGCUUCACCCUCUCUUGCUGAACUUUAUUCUUUUAUGUUUUUAUCUUCCCCCAUUCACUCUACAGCAAUGCUUCUUUUACCUAAGCUAAAGAUCCCUGCAGCGCCCAAAAUACUGUGGGGUUUGCUCAUCAAGUAGGUUACUGCUAGUGCAAUUGUGAUGUGAGAGUGGGGACAGGGAAGUGCUGAAUCUGGGAUUCAUAAGGGUAACAGCUUGACAGUGCAGAUUGACCCAGUCCGCUCAGACUUGCUCUGUUAAUGUAUGUGUGGGCGUGUUCAUCUGGUUCUGGGGUUGGAGAAACCCAGCCCUAGGGAACCUAGGUCCUGCAGGAUAGCUCCAAUGGGAGAGAACUUGCAGCAGGGAGAAGCAGAGCUCCAUAUGAAAACACAAGUGACACAAGCAGUACAUUGAUAGAAGUACAGAACCCCUGUCCCCCUGAAGAGUAACCUGAAUAAAUGAGAAACCCCAAAGUAAUGGGCAAAUCUGGUAACAGUAUCUAGGCAAACUGAUCCACUUUUGGGGGAAAAAGUCACAUUUUAUCCCCCAUCAGAACUUACCAGGGAGGAAAGAAAACGAGGAAGGCCCAGAAAGAAUGGGCAGAAGACAGUGACAGAGGAUACUGAAUGUGUUGUCAUCACCUAGGAAGAAGUACCGCUACUAGUGAGUGCCCAUAAUCAAUGGAGGAGCUGGACUGCCCAAUGUGACAGUGGCGCAAGAGGAACUAAGGUCUAUGCUUCCAGUGCUGACCCUCUUGAAUGGCCAUAUCCUAGCGAGAGUCAAGACUUGACGUGUCUAUUUUGGCAGAACUCCUUGGGCGUUUCUUCUGGAUGUAGAGGUUGUGUGCAUGCAUAUACAUAUAUAGUGUGGAUGCAGCCCACAUUGGUGAAUAGGUUGAGAACCUCUGAUUUACAGUCUGAAUGUCAGUCCUAUAAUUUGUUUAAGGAUUAAAUUUUAUACCUCUGCAGCACAACUAUAUUAGGACGGUUAGAAAUGGGCCAUCCUGAUGUAUACUACAAAAGUUUUUUUUUCUCCUGCUAAUAAUAUCCCACCUUAAUUGAUUACUCUUGUUAUAGUUAUUAUGGCAACACCCAUUUUUUCAUGUCCUUUAUGUGUGUGUAUAUAUAUAUAUCCAACUGUAUUUUCCACUGCAUGCAUCCGAUGAAGUGGGUUUUAGCCCACGAAAGCUUACGCUCAAAUAAAUUUGUUAGUCUCUAAGGUGCCACAAGUACUCCUCAUUCUUUUUAAAUUACACCAGCACAGUUAUUAGUCUAAACAAAGCCUAAUAUUGCAUGUACAAACAAGUUUUGUUUUUGCUUUUUAAGGGAAGUUGACUGCAAAAAGCUAGAUCAAACUAUGCAAGGUCUUAUGUGCAUAUUCAUUCAAGUGAGCAAAUUCAGGCUGAAAUGCCCUAGCUCUGAUCUUCUCUUUUACCACUUGUGUACAAGAAUGAUCAAGUUUGAGAACAGACUAUUUAUGUUCUUAACCAUACAGUGACAAUACCAAGGCAUGAAGUGGGUGAUGAUGUACCAAGAAGUUUUAACUCUAAAUAUCUUGAGUUUUAUAAGUGUGAUUCGAAUCUUAAAGAAAAGCACUGGCCUGAAAUUUAAAAGUUGCAAGAAGUAAGGUUCUAGAGAGACCAAGAAACAUAAGUAUCUGUGGAUCUUUUUAAAAUUCCUCUUUUAAACAUAUAACAGUCUGGGAGGAUUUAUAAAUUCCCCUACAGUGUUUUCAACUAAAAAAUCAUAUUAGCACCUGGCUAGAACACGGAGAGCCAUAAAGUGAAACUAGCUAAAAAACUAAGAAUACAUUAUUUUAAUCAACGUGGCAAAACUGCAUAAAAUAAAAAUCAGUGAUCAGCGUGAAAAGUAAAUUUGAUUUAAAAAACACACAAUCUAUGGCUUUCUUGGAAUAUAUUUUUAUCUUUCGGAGAAAGCUUAGGUUUUUGU